UGGGGAAUCUUGGACAAUGGGGGCAACCCUGAUCCAGCCAUGCCGCGUGAGUGAUGAAGGCCUUAGGGUCGUAAAGCUCUUUCGCCUGUGAAGAUAAUGACGGUAGCAGGUAAAGAAACCCCGGCUAACUCCGUGCCAGCAGCCGCGGUAAUACGGAGGGGGUUAGCGUUGUUCGGAAUUACUGGGCGUAAAGCGCACGUAGGCGGACCAGAAAGUUGGGGGUGAAAUCCCGGGGGCUCAACCCCGGAACUGCCUCCAAAACUAUUGGUCUAGAGUUCGAGAGAGGUGAGUGGAAUUCCAAGUGUAGAGGUGAAAUUCGUAGAUAUUUGGAGGAACACCAGUGGCGAAGGCGGCUCACUGGCUCGAUACUGACGCUGAGGUGCGAAAGUGUGGGGAGCAAAACAGGAUUAGAUACCCUGGUAGUCCACACCGUAAAACGAUGAAUGCCAGUCGUCGGGUAGCAUGCUAUUCGGUGACACACCUAACGGAUUAAGCAUUCCGCCUGGGGCAGGUACGGUCGGCAAGAUUAAAACUCAAAAGGAUUGAACGGUU
rnacentral:rRNA from 1 species